CUACGGGAGGCAGCAGUGGGGAAUAUUGCACAAUGGGGGAAACCCUGAUGCAGCAACGCCGCGUGGAGGAUGACACAUUUCGGUGCGUAAACUCCUUUUAUAGGUCAAGAUAAUGACGGUAGCCUAUGAAUAAGCGCCGGCUAACUCCGUGCCAGCAGCCGCGGUAAUACGGAGGGCGCAAGCGUUACUCGGAAUCACUGGGCGUAAAGGGCAUGUAGGCGGGUUAAUAAGUCAGAAGUGAAAUCCAAUAGCUCAACUAUUGAACUGCUUUUGAAACUGUUAACCUAGAGUGUGGGAGAGGUAGAUGGAAUUUCUGGUGUAGGGGUAAAAUCCGUAGAGAUCAGAAGGAAUACCGAUUGCGAAGGCGAUCUACUGGAACAUUACUGACGCUGAGAUGCGAAAGCGUGGGGAGCAAACAGGAUUAGAUACCCUUGUAGUC
rnacentral:rRNA from 1 species